GACGAACGCUGGCGGCGUGCUUAACACAUGCAAGUCGAACGGAAAGGCCCUGCUUUCGUGGGGUUCUGGAGUGGCGAACGGGUGAGUAACAGGUAAGUAACCUGCCCUUCACUUUGGGGUAACAUCAGGAAACUGGGGUUAAUACCGGAUAGGAGACCCUGUUGCAUGGUGGGCGUGGGAAAGUUUCGGCGGGUGGGGAUGGAUUCGCGGCUUAUCAGCUUGUUGGUGGGGUAGGGGCUUACCAAGGCUGUGGCGGGUAGCCGGCCUGAGAGGGUGGACGGCCACAUUGCGACUGAGAUACGGAGCAGACUCGUACGGGAGGCAGCAGGGGGGAAUAUUGCACAAUGGGCGGAAGCCUGAUGCAGAGGCGCCGCGUGCGGGAUGACGGCCUGCGGGUUGUGAACCGCUGUCGCCUGUGACGAAGCGUGAGUGACGGUAAUGGGUAAAGAAGCACCGGCUAACUACGUG
rnacentral:rRNA from 1 species